CGAAACAUCGAUGGUAAACUCUACGUUUACGGACGAAAUCUCGAUUUUUCGGAACAUCGAUAUAUCGCUUGCUUCCCUGUGAAAUGUCAAUACUUGGACGCGCCCAUCGAGCGACAGGGUAACAGGGAUCCAGAGGACAAGACUACAAUAAUUACAGCAUGGACAGAGGCAUUCAGUCAGUCAUUCUUCUUGUGCUCCAUAUGUGGGUGGAACAGGAAGAAAUUCGAAUAACUGGUACAAUGGGAUGCCUCCUCUGCCGUGCAGCUCACCAUGCGGCAGGAAGCACACUCUUAAUCUGAGACUUCCGUAACACCCAAUUGUGCGCCACUGUCGGCACGGGAGGAAUGGCAGAGGGCAGACGCAAGUGGGGCGAGCCGUCGACGAAGGUCCGUCGCAACAGUGAGAUGGCCGAGAAAAAUGAUUCGGCUGAUGGAGGGACGCAUUUUCACCACCUCCCAGAUGAAGUUAUGAUCAGUAUAUUUUCCUCCUUGAGCUUCAGCGACCUCGUAGACAUCGUGCAGAAUGUUUGUGUGCGCUGGAGGAGGCUGUCGCAAGACCCGAUGCUCUGGCUCGACAAAGAGUACGUCGUCACAGCGAGGAAUAUACGCGCAACGAAGUUGUGGCUUUUCCCUUCACACCCAGUGAAAGAGUGGAGCUGCUCUGGAGUGGUCUGCACAGAGUGUGUCAACUGCAAAUUUGAAGGGAAGGACGAAGAGAUUCUGCGGGCAGCGCCAACCAUGCCGCAGCUGCGAACAUUGACACUGAUGCGCGGCGUUAAACCCUAUAUCCUGCAAAAGGUUUGCGCAAGUUGUCCUAACCUCACGAGCCUACAGAUUGAUAGCCGACAGGAGAUGACUUACUCACUUAUGAAGUACGUAUUCGAGAAGUGUCCGAAGAUACAGAAGCUGACACUGGGGAGCAGCCUCCUGUCGGAUGGACAGUACGUGCAACUGCUGUCCAACCUGCACCACCUGAGCAGCGUGACCAGCCUGGGGCUGCGCCCCGACCUCCACAGCCUGGGGAUGCGCACGACCUUCAGCCCUACGGGAUUCGUAAAGCUGCGCGUCCUGGCCAAUUCCUGUCCCCAGCUGCAGGAGAUACACAUCGACUCGAGCUGUUACACUGUGUUCGACUUGGAAUACUUCCUGAAGGUGAAGAGGCACAUCCUCACUUCUGCCACACUGCCCUGGAUGAUGGAGGAAGUUCAGGAAACGAGGUGUACUGUGCAGCUGCUGAGAAAGUAUAACACUUCACUUAAAAAACUGCGGCUGGUCAAUUUUAAUGUGACAAACGAGUUGGAUGCCGAGCGUCAUGAAACCGCGGCGUUUCGAGCCCUCGGUGAGCUACACACUCUGGAGGAGCUGUGCAUUGAGCGCCUCUUCCCACGUGUACCACUUACAGUAUCUUACGCAUUUCAGCCCGGAUGUCUGACACAGCUCCGACGGCUGCAGCUGCCGUUUGCCAGUGACCUCGAGGACGACACGGUGCUUGCCAUUUCAGAGGGCUGUCCUAAUUUGCGCGAACUGAGGUUGAGGUUUUCACUGAGAAUUACCGACAGAGCUCUGGCUAUGAUCAACCGUCUGGAACACUUGGAAAUGAUGGAAUGAAACAAGCUGAUAAGUUGACACCAGGACAGAGGACUUCAAAUUCAGAAAAUUUUCCCAGAGAACUACAGAUUGGAGCUUUCUGGGUGCCAAAGGUUGGGUGGCGCUUGCAUGGCUUUUAUAUCACAGCUACCAGCUCUGCACACAUUGGUCCUCCGGGCACUCGAUGACUUGUCUGUGCUGCA
rnacentral:misc_RNA from 1 species